GGCCUGUGAUGAAUUGCUUUCGUUUCUGACACCUCAGACGAAAGCUACACUACAGUCUUACAAGACUGGGGGUU
rnacentral:snoRNA from 1 species